CUUUUGGUGGGAAUGUACAUGGGAAGGAGACAUGUGAAUCCUUACAUUAAGCCAUGCAAUUAAUGUAAUCCAAGAUGAAGCCGUUUUUUCCAUGUCUCCUCUUUCACAAUAAGACACCCUCCCCUCGCACAUUCUCAAUGGCCUUUGAGGAGGUAUAAAAGCCUUGGAGGCUGCUGUUGCCACAGGACCAGUUCAAGUGCAAUACUACAUUGUGUACUGUACACCGCCGAACCCUGUCUCUGACCUCCAGCCAUGCUGACCAGGAACAUUCUCAUCCUCUGCUCAUUGGCGCUAGUACUGGUUAAAGCGGACCUUGAAGCAGCUGAAGGAGGGUCCCAAGCCAUGUUUGCGACAGAUCCCGAUUCAACCUCAGAUGAAGCUCCAACUGAAAGCAUGAACCUGGUCUCACCUGACCUGCCCAACGAAGAUGAAGCUCCAGACUCAGAGGAGGCGACAGCGGCUGUGAAACCCGCCCCGGUCCCAGUCCAGCGUGCAACCAAAUCCCACAAUGCAUCAGCACGCAAGCGGAGCAAGCCCAUCACUGCCUCAAAAAAGAGAUCAAGAAACCUCCGUCCCUGAGACAUGAACUGUGGAGAGAGAAACAGGGCAAAGCUGCAAUGACAAGGCAGUAACAGAAUGAGAAAAACAAAUGAUAUAGAUGAUGUUUUCAGAGGCAUUUUUUGUUUUUGUUUGUUUUGAGAAUCUUGAACUAGACUUUAUCCUCUGUGAUGUACUGAUUGGUUUGUGUUUGACUGUGUGUUUGUGUAGGUGUGAAUGCUUAUGACCUCUGUUAAAGGUCUGGUAAUGUGAGCUACACAAUGUGCUUGCCAAAUAUUCUUCCAAACUUUAUCCAGAGGCAAAGCUGACAUGGACACUUUAUAGGGUUGAUUUCAUUUUAGAUCAGACUAGAAAAUAAAUUUAUUGAAAAUUUCUAGACA
ensembl:lncRNA